GCUGUGAUAGCCCAGUGGUUAAGGUGUUGGACUUAAAAUCCAAUAGGGUUGCCCUGUGCAGGUUCAAAUCCUGCUUACAGGG
rnacentral:tRNA from 1 species